rnacentral:misc_RNA from 1 species
GGAAGUAAAAGUCUAACAAGGUUUCCGUAGGUGAACCUGCGGAAGGAUCAUUAUUGUAUAACCGAGGUGCGAGGGCUGUCGCUGACCCGAAAGGUCGUGCACGCCCGAGUGCCCUCACACACAUCCAUCUCACCCCUGUGUGCACCACCGCGUGGGUCCCCCUUUGGCUUGUUCGGAGGGGGGCUUACGUUUUCACACAAACUUUGUAUGCAGUGUAGGAUGUAUUUUUUGUUUUUGCGAUCACGCAAUCAAUACAGCUUUCAACAACGGAUCUCUUGGCUCUC